AAGCCAAAAUCAAGAGUCAGACACUUGACCAACUGAGCCACCCAGGAUAUAAAAAUUAUACCUAGCUCUCAGACCUUGGUUUCAAAUACCAUUCUGCAAUAAAAGGAAGCAGAGACUCCUAGAGAAAUGGCUGAUUGCAGGACUGGGGCAAGAAAUGUGUAAGACUGUGUAACUGAACCAAUGUGAGUUCAUUCCUGGGUGAGUCUGAAAUUGCACCAGGUUGAGUUGUUGCACAAAGAAAACUUUUUUUAAAUGUUUAUUUUUGAGGAGGGGGGCAGAGAAAGAGGGGAACAGAAGAUCCGACACAGGCUCCGCUCUGACACCAGAGGGCCCAACACGUAGCUGUAACUCCCAAACCGCAAGAUCAUGACUUGAGCUGAAGUUGGACACUCAACUGACUGAGGCACGCUGGUGCCCCAGAAAACUUUUAUUUGCAGCAAUUAAGAUCACAGGGAAUGGCUUCCAAAGCUGAGACUGCUUGAGCAAGGGUGGGUAAGUUCCUUUUAUUUAGGGUUAGGAUGAAUAGACAGGGAAGCCUUGUCAUAGGGUAGAGGCAGGCAUAGGGGUUGCACAUGCGCCUUAAGGAAACUUGCCUAUACACAUUGUAUGUUAUGUAAAUGUUCCUCUUUGGGCAGAGAUUUUAGCAUUAUAAUGAGAUAAAGGUAAUUGUCAGUCAUUUUGCAGGUCACUCUAUGGUCCAUCUACACAGGUAUGAGCCAAGGGUUAAGUUCAAAUUGGUCUGGGUGGUUUGGGCUGGCUGGAGGUCUUGUCAGGGCAGUUGCUGUGGCUCAGAGGACAGUUUGCUUUCCAUUUGCCUGAGUUAAGAGGAAAGCCAGGAAGAAGAGUUUAAGGGAAAAUGUGGGACAAAGGUCAGUGAGGACAAGCAGGUGGACAGUGCAGGUCAGGUCUUGGGGUCUAGCUGGUGACAGUAAGCCUGGAGUAUCCCCCAGUGCCAGAAAGGAAGUACUGAAAAAUGAACAAAACCCCACCAAUGCUGGACGUGUCCGAGGGACACAGACGCCAACUGAAAGAGCUCCUGAUGACUAAAACUGGAGGAACCUGAGUGAUAUGAAUAGCGCUGGAUUAUAUAUAACCCAAAAUAUAA